GACAGAGGGUGCAAACGUUGCUCGGAAUUACUGGGCGUAAAGCGCGUGUAGGUGGAUUGGUGUGUCAGAUGUGAAAGCCCUGGGCUCAACCCAGGAACUGCACCUGAAACUACCAGUCUUGAGUGGUGGAGAGGGAAGUGGAAUUCCUGGUGUAGAGGUGAAAUUCGUAGAUAUCAAGGAGGAACACCAGUGGCGAAGGCGGCUUCCUGGACACCAACUGACGCUGAGACGCGAAAGCGUGGGGAGCAAACAGG
rnacentral:rRNA from 1 species